GAGCUCAGCAAUGAGCCAGAGGGCGAACUGCAAACUUUCAGAGGUCCUGGAGGCAGGCUGUGCGCUGCCCUCCCCAGCCGCGCGCGGGCGUGUGUGUGUGUGUAUGUGUGUGUGCGCGCGCGCGCGCCUGAGUGUGUAAGGGGCCGAGGCUGGAAAGGAAACCGGCCGCCUCGCGGAGAAGGAAGGAGCCUCCCCCUUCCUCGUCGCCCCCCUCCCCACUUCCCGUCCAGCUUGCUGUCUCUUCCCCCCUCCGCGGGCCUUUGGGCGCACGGAGCCUGCCCACCGCAGAGGAGCUGGAGGAGCUAGGGCGCAUGCUGGGCGGGGGACCCCAAGGCGCCCUGGCCGGUGGCGGCGGGGGCCGCGGUGCAGGUGGCCAGGAUUGCUUACCACCUGCGGCAUCCUUGCGGCGGCGGCGGCUGGCGCGGAGGCCCGGCUACAUGAGAAGCACAGCGGGGCCCCGGAUUGGGUUCCUCUACCCAGCAGUGGCCACUGCACUCCGUGCCCAGGGAGGGGCGUGCGGUGAGGAGUCCCACCAGUCUGAGUCCAGGGCCGGACGGGGUGGCCUUGAUCCUGGAGGCCAGUGGCGAGGCCCCUCGGUGGGCAGCCCUGUUCCUAGGAGCACAGCAGCCUCAGCUCCGACCCCUGUGGGAUACGGGGGCCUGGCAAGGACGCCUGCAAGAAGACCCUCAGGGCUCUUCGGGAUUCAGUUCCAAGUUGGCACCACACUGCCUGCCAGGCCGGCCAGGUCGUGUGGCCCUGGGGACGCAGGGUGGCAGGGCGAGCUCCCGUCCAUGGACAGUUCUGAGGCCCCCGGCACUGGCUGGGAUGCUGGUGGCGGUGAAAGAGCAAAAGACACCUGGACAAAAGGUCGUCUGUUCCCAGAGGAGGUGAAUGGUGACAGCUGUGGCCUCGGGAGUGAUCCCAGGGUCCCCUCAGCCCCGGGCAGCUCUCAGGACACCUUUACCUCAAGCUUUAGCUUCAUACGGCUCUCUCUUGGCUCUGCGGGGGAGCGUGGAGAAGCGGAAGGCUGCCCGCCCUCCAGAGAGGCCGAGGCCCCUUGUCAGAGCCCCAAGGACAUGGAAGCCAAGGCUGCCAGCCUGGACAGGCCCCACGAACACCCUCGACUUCUCUCUCCCCACUUCUAUCUCAAGACUACUCAGCGCCUGGCAGACUCUGCCCAGACUGCAGGGGGCAGCCACAGGCUGGAGAGGGAGAUGCCGACUUUGUUGGACGUGGACACCGUCUCCUGCUUCUCCCCGGGCCCCUCUGGGUCUGAGGGCAGCAGCUUGGGGGACGCUCAGCGCUGGGAGACGCUGGUCCGGAGGUGUGAGCCCGUGCUGCUGGACUGCCUGCUGAGCGACCAGAGGCGGCUGGAGGUAAAAUCCCUAAGAAUAAAGCUUCAGAAACUUCAAGAAAAGGCAGUUGAGGAUGAUGAUUAUGAUAAGGCCGAGGCGUUAAGACACCGGCUGGAGGAGCUGGACACAGAGAGGAGCAACCUGCACUUCCAGCUCCCGUCGAGGCAGCCGGCGCUCUGCAGCCUGCUGGGCCACCUGCACGCCCAGGUCCAAGCCGCCGAGCACUGCAGGGCCACUCCGCCGGCCUGCGGUGAAGACGCCCACGCCCCACCCAGGGGGGAGCCGAAGCUGUUGGAACCCAGCGCUCUGGACAGCCUGCAUGUGUCCGUCACCAGACGAGACUGGCUUCUUCAGGAGAAGCAGCAGUUGCAGAAAGAGAUCGAAGCUCUCCAAGCAAGAAUGUCCGUGCUGGAAGCAAAAGACCAGCAGCUGAGAAGGGACAUAGAAGAGCAGGAGCUCCUCCUCCGAUGGGAGGACUGCGACCUGCCCGCCCUGGUGUGCGGGCUGUCCCCCAGCGAGCUGCGGGAAGUCAGCGAGGCCUUGCGGGACACGUUGGCCUUAGCCAGCCAGAUUCCCCUCCGUGCAGAACUGCCUGAAACUCUCACGAGCCUCCAGGAACAGAUAAAAUCCCUCAACUUGUCCCUUAAGGAAAUCACUGCUAAGGUGUGUAUGAGCGAGAGACUCGGCAGCACUCUCAGGAAAAAAGUGAGUGACAUUGAAGACCAACUCCCGGUGUUGCUUGAAGCCAAAAUGCUGGCCGUCUCAGGAAACCAUUUCUCUACAGCCAAGGAGCUCACUGAGGAGAUUAGAUCAUUAACAUCAGAAAGGGAAGCGCUGGAGGGACUCCUGGACAAGCUUCGGGCACUGAGUUCCAGGAAUGUCCAAAAGCUGGGUGAUGUGAAGGAAGAUUACAGCAGACUGAGAAGACAGCUGGACGAGGGGGAGACCGCCUACGAAAUGAGUGUGAAGGAGAGUGCUCUGAAGUACAUGGAGAUGCUCGAGGAUAAGCUGUGUAGCUGCAAGUGUCCACUCCUUGGAAAAGUGUGGGGAGCUGACUUGGAAGCUUGUCGGUUGCUUAUCCAGAGCCUACAGCUCCAGGAGGCCACAAGCACACUGUCUGCGGAAGACGAGAAGCAGACAGAUGACUUAGUGGGAACCAUCUGUCCAUCCACUCUUGCCAUAUCCCCCAGGAUCCACUCUGAAGUUGAAAGGAAGACCCCUUUGCAGGCCUUCGAAGACUGGAAGGCUCACCCGAGUCCAUCUCUGUACUUUGCUGGCAGCGAACAGAAAGAGGAAUCUUGGCUCCUUUCUUCGGAACUUGGAGAAAAAUGUGAAGCCAUAAACAAGAAGUUACUGUACUUGGAAGAUCAGCUUCACACAGCCAUCCACAGCCAUGAUGAAGAUCUCAUUCAGUCUCUCAGGAGGGAGCUCCAGAUGGUGAAGGAAACUCUGCAGGCCAUGAGCCUGCAGCUCCAGCCGGCAAAGGAGGCGGGAGAGAGAGAGGCUACGGCAUCCUGUGUGACAGCUGGCGUCCGGGAGGUGCAGGCCUGAGGCGCAUGAUCUAAGGGAGCUAAUUAACCCCAGGAUCUGGAAUUAACAGCUUUUCACCUUCUCCUGAUCUUUGGACCCCGGACAGUUCUUGUCAUUUCCUGGAGUCACGCUGUUGUUUCCAGAAGGCAGCUGGUGCUUUGCUGAGUCUCCCGUGCUGGGCAGUACUUCUGUCCUCAAAGAGAUGCCCUGCUUCAGCCGGCAGCUGGCCAGCAUCCAGGGAACAAAGCAAAAGCACAGCAUGUGAAUUUGCUGCCUGUGUUUCAUCAGUUUUAUCUUGAGCAUUAAAAAAGUAUAUAUAUAUAUAUAUAUAUAUAUGUAUAUAUAUACAUAUAUAUAUACAUACUGUAUAUAUUUUAAUAAUAAGUGUAGUUGAUUUCUAGGAAUUCUUGUUUUUUUAAAUAAUGGACCAAAUUAGUGAAUUAUUUAUAAUCAUGUCUCAAAAAUAUUAUGUACUGGUCACAUGGCACUUGGAAUCUUCGAAUCCUUGGAUUAAUUCCAAUGGAGCCAAACUUGGCAAGAGUCAGGACUGACUGUAUUAGAAAUGACAAAUGUCUACUUUGAUAUACACCAUUUUUAAAAAGGCCCCUGGACACAAGACAGCCGAACGGUCACUAACCCAGUGUUUUGUGUGACUCAGACACCAUCAUGAAUACUUCUUUGAGGUCAUAAUGUAUUGGAACAUUUUGGAAGCUAACAAGAGUUGUAGGUAUACGCCAUGUGAGAGUUCUCUGGUACCUUUGGCUGGGCAGUGUGUUUGUUUCCUUGUUGAGACGCCUGAACAGGUCUAAGUAUCGGGGUAGGUGAAUGAUGCUUUAACCACAUGCUACCACCCCUCCCUGGUCUAUGCUGGCAUCAGAGUCAUCCAGGAAGCCUGAUAAAGGCCAGGAUGUAUCAUCUGGCCACACAGCCUCCUCAGGGCAAGUCCCCUCUUCAGCCACUGUGACCUCAGAAAACCCAGGACCGUGGGUCCCAAACCAGAAUAUGGGGCAGUUUUUGUCAGGGCUUGAAUUUAAAAGUGACCAAACCACAAUACGAACUGAAGCUUUUAUGGAGACAGUCAAGACUGCAAGCCAACGCGCCGACUGAAAAUGGCAACGUGGAGUCCGAUUUUGUCGUGACGCAGUGUGAGAGAAUGAAUCGCAGAUGACACUGCCCACUGGGUGGAGAGGCUGGUGUUCAAAGAUUUUAUUUAUUUAUUUGACAGAGAGAGACACAGCGAGAGAGGGAACACAAGCAGAGGGAGUGGGAGAAGGAGAAGCAGGCUUCCCGCACAGCAGAGAGCCUCAUGCGGGGCUCAAUUCCAGGACUCUGUGAUCAUGACCCGAGCCAAAGGCAGAUGCUUAUCUGAUUGAGCCACCCAGGCACCCCAAGGCUGGCAUUCAAACGGCUGCCCAUUCAUCUUCCACCAGCUUGGGGUAGGGCAUGUUCUUGCUCAGUAACCAUCCUAUGCCUUCCAACUUCCUGAAAUUUCAAGAUCAAAAUGAUCUUCCCUCAGAUCACGUUAGUAUGUAAUGCUGCAAACCUGUCAUCCUCUGUGGUGAGGCAGGUUUCCCCAGCCCGGGAGCAUGGAAGGGCCCCCCUUUGUGCACCGGGACUGUCCUAAGACCUUUAUAAUCAUCAUCUCAUUGAAUUCUCAUAUCGGCCGUAUGAGGUAGGUGUCUGUAGAUGACCAAACAGAGCCUUAGGAGACCAACGAACUUUCCUCAAGGCUCAGAGCUGGGAAGGGGUGGCGUGACAGUAGGGGUCAGACACAGUGGAAUGAAUGCAUCCUAAAGGGCCUUCAGGGUCGUUCUGAGACUUCGAGCCACAAAGCUUAUUCACUUAAGGAAACAUGGUCACCUUGGGGAUCGUGCUGGGGAAACCUCGGCUUCCCAUGCUCCCACCUAAGCCCCACUAUGCUGCAGUCAUGAUGUCUAGCUCACUGGGACAGGUUCCAACAGACACCCGCCCCCCGUGACCAACGUGCAUGCUGUCUUCACUGACCAUUCAUCCCCAAUCUACCACGAAAGCCACUCCAGGAGGGGCCUUUUACUGCCUGGCAAUGGGCAGAUUUUCUUGAAAAUCCCCAUUUGAUUUUUUUUAAAAAACAUCUGACAAAGCAACACUGUACCCCUUAGUCAAUGCCUCCUUGUAGAAGUGGUUCAGUACUUUCAUUUUUAAUAUCCGCACCUUAUCUCAUCUUUGAAUUUUGUCAUAUAAUUUAUUGCUUCAUAAAUGUUACUUUUGUUACAUGAAAUUAAAGCUGAUAUCUAAACCAUGGAGCACCUUUAACUUUUUUUUCUUCUUUUGGCCUCGAGUAUAGAUGAUAGAAAAAUUUAUCAGGUUUAUCCAUUUCAUCUCUUUGUUAUAAGGUGAUUGAUUGUACACUUACAUCACACAAAAUACUUCUAAUAAAGCAAUGCUUUAAAGUG